ACAUAAGUAAUUCAGGUUCCAUUGUGGAUGCCUUGUCCCCGGGAGCCUAUUUUUGACGGGUCAAAUACCAAUGGGCUCCGGGGAGCUGCCUGCAAGCUUUGAUCCAAAGAUUUCCGAAUGGGACAAACCCACCUCUUCCGGGGAACUGGAAUCAAUCUUUGAUCCCAAAAUUUCUGAAGGGGCAAACCCGCCCCAACUGAAUGAUCUGAUUCCCCUGUAGGAAAACAAAGCAAAUGCAAUUCCCUGACCAGGGGAAAGCAAAACUGUACCAGCCCAAACCAAGAGGCUUGCCUCUUGGGGUUGUAGGACACUCUGUACGGAGUUACAAAGGAACGAGGUAGAUGAAGAGGUCUGGAAAGGCCCGCCAUAGGAGGUAACAGCCCUGUAGUCAAAACUUCGUUCUCUCCCUGAGUGGAUCCCUGAGUACGGCGGAACCACCGUGAAAUUCCCGUCGGAAUCCCGGGAGGACCCUCUCCCCAGGGCUAAUUCCC
rnacentral:rRNA from 1 species